GACGAGCGCGGCGAUGGCGUCCGCCCACCACAACCGCCGGACACGCCGGCUGAUGACGCCUUCUCACCG
rnacentral:ncRNA from 2 species